rnacentral:tRNA from 1 species
CCCCUGAUAGUUUAUAAAAACAAACAUUGUGUUUUCAAUACAAAAAAAUUCAAAGGAGUUUAGGGAU